GAUGAACGCUGGCGGCGUGCCUAAUACAUGCAAGUCGAGCGAACGGACGAGAAGCUUGCUUCUCUGAUGUUAGCGGCGGACGGGUGAGUAACACGUGGAUAACCUACCUAUAAGACUGGGAUAACUUCGGGAAACCGGAGCUAAUACCGGAUAAUAUUUUGAACCGCAUGGUUCAAAAGUGAAAGACGGUCUUGCUGUCACUUAUAGAUGGAUCCGCGCUGCAUUAGCUAGUUGGUAAGGUAACGGCUUACCAAGGCAACGAUGCAUAGCCGACCUGAGAGGGUGAUCGGCCACACUGGAACUGAGACACGGUCCAGACUCCGACGGGAGGCAGCAGUAGGGAAUCUUCCGCAAUGGGCGAAAGCCUGACGGAGCGACGCCGCGUGAGUGAUGAAGGUCUUCGGAUCGUAAAACUCUGUUAUUAGGGAAGAACAUAUGUGUAAGUAACUGUGCACAUCUUGACGGUACCUAAUCAGAAAGCCACGGCUAACUACGUG
rnacentral:rRNA from 1 species